rnacentral:rRNA from 1 species
AGUAACGCGUGGGGAUCUACCUCUAAGCGGGGGACAACUCAGGGAAACUUGAGCUAAUACCGCAUGUGGCAGUAAUGCUAAAGAUGGCCUCUAUUUAUAAGCUAUCGCUUAGAGAUGAACCUGCGUACUAUUAGCUAGUUGGUGGGGUAAAAGCCUACCAAGGCGAUGAUAGUUAGGCGGCCUUAACGGGUGGCCGCCCACACUGGGAUUGAGAUACGGCCCAGACUCC